rnacentral:rRNA from 1 species
UACGAAGGGGGCUAGCGUUGCUCGGAUUGACUGGGCGUAAAGGGCGCGUAGGCGGUUCGUACAGUCAGACGUGAAAUUCCUGGGCUCAACCUGGGGCUGCGUUUGAUACGUGCGGACUUGAGUGCGGAAGAGGGUCGUGGAAUUCCCAGUGUAGAGGUGAAAUCGUAGAUAUUGGGAAGAACACCGGUGGCGAAGGCGGCGACCUGGUCCGAUACUGACGCUGAGGCGCGAAAGCGUGGGGAGCAACAGG